GGGGGCAUGGCUCAGAGUAGAGCAUUUGGCUACAUAUUAAGAGAUCCCUGGUUCAGAUCCAGCUGUCCCUG
rnacentral:tRNA from 1 species